UACGGGGGGGGCAAGCGUUGUUCGGAUUUACUGGGCGUAAAGGGCGCGUAGGUGGCCUUCUAAGUUGAACGUGAAAUCCCUGGGCUCAACCCAGGAACUGCGUCCAAGACUGGGAGGCUUGAAUCCGGGAGAGGGAUGCGGAAUUCCAGGUGUAGCGGUGAAAUGCGUAGAUAUCUGGAGGAACACCGGUGGCGAAGGCGGCAUCCUGGACCGGUAUUGACACUGAGGCGCGAAAGCCAGGGGAGCAAACGGG
rnacentral:rRNA from 1 species